rnacentral:rRNA from 1 species
UACAGGGGGGGCAAGCGUUGUUCGGAAUUACUGGGCGUAAAGGGUCUGUAGGUGGCCAACUAAGUCAGACGUGAAAUCCCUCAGCUUAACUCGGGAACUGCGCUUGAUACUGUCGAGCUAGAGUGUGGAAGGGGCGAUUGGAAUUCCGUGUGUAGCGGUGAAAUGCGUAGAUAUACGGAGGAACACCAGAGGCGAAGGCGGAUCGCUGGGCCAACACUGACGCUGAUGUGCGAAAGCUAGGGGAGCAAACGGG